CAGUCGCCGCGGGAAUACGUAGGUCACGAGUGUUGUCCGGAUUUAUUGGGCGUAAAGCGAGCGCAGGCGGUUAGAUAAGUCUGAAGUUAAAGGCUGUGGCUUAACCAUAGUACGCUUUGGAAACUGUUUAACUUGAGUGCAAGAGGGGAGAGUGGAAUUCCAUGUGUAGCGGUGAAAUGCGUAGAUAUAUGGAGGAACACCGGUGGCGAAAGCGGCUCUCUGGCUUGUAACUGACGCUGAGGCUCGAAAGCGUGGGGAGCAAACAGGAUUAGAUACCCCUGUAGUCCCUGUCUCUUAUACC
rnacentral:rRNA from 1 species